AAGCCCGAGGCUCACCUUCGGGAAUCGGAAGCAUACUGGGGAGCUAGAGUCCGCGAGGGGUCUAGUGGAAUUCCUGGUGUAGCAGUGAAAUGCAUAGAUAUCAGGAGGAACACCGGUGGCGAAGGCGACUAACUGGCGCUGGACUGACACUGAUGCACGAAAUGGCCUUACGGGGAGCAAACAGGAUUAGAUACCCUGGUAGUCCUAGCCGUAAACGUUGUCAACUCGGUGAUGGGUGAGUCGAUCCGCUUCAUUGCCCUUAAGCUUAACCGUCGGACUAAACGUUGACCGCCUGGGGAGUAUGCGCGCAAGCGUGAAACUCAAAGGAAUUGACGGGGGCCCGCACAAGCGGUGGAGCAUGUGGGUUUUAAAUUUCGNAUAAUAAGCGAGGAACCUUACCUGGAUUUGACAUGGACUAGAUCGGGUCUGAAAGNGACCCCUCCCUUCGGGGCUGGUUCACAGGUGCUGCAUGGCUGUCGUCAGCUCGUGUCGUGAGAUGUUGGGUUAAGUCCCGCAACGAGCGCAACCCCUAUUAGCAGUUGCGACCAGUUCGGCUGAGCACUCUGCUGAGACUGCCUAUGAAAGUAGGAGGAAGGUGGGGAUGACGUCAAGUCCUCAUGGCCCUUAUGUCCAGGGCGACACACGUGCUACAAUGGGAGGUACAAACCGUUGCCAACCCGCGAGGGGGAGCUAAUCGGAAAAAACCUUUCUCAGUUCGGAUUGGAGUCUGAAACCCGACUCCAUGAAGUUGGAAUCGCUAGUAAUCGCGAAUCAGCCAUGUCGCGGUGAUACGUUCCCGGGCAUUGUACACACCGCCCGUCACACCACCCGAAUUGGUUUGGCCCGAAGUCAGAUGGUUAACCUUUUUGGAGCCAUUUGCCGAAGGUCAGACUAGUAAGGGGGGUGAAGUCGUAACAAG
rnacentral:rRNA from 1 species